UCACUCUUUGAUAAAUAUACCCCAAAGACUUCAAUAGUGCCACAAUCUUCACACUGCCAACGCAUUGACUAGAACCUCUUAUAGGGUUAAUGGACGACACAACGUUCAGUCUCCUAGGAGUUCAGAUUCAUGGAACCACCAUGGAUAAUGACGGCAGUGAAGGGGUUAAAAUGUGAUGCUCUUCGUCAGCCUUAGUGGUGUAUAUGCAGUGAAAAGAGCUGCCCCUAGAGGUGAGAGUGGGGUACUAUAGAGGUGAGUACAAAGAGCUGCCCCAAGAGGUGAGAGUGGGGUACUGCAGGCAGGGGAGUAAAACGUGGGAAGGAGCGACUUCUUUACUGAGCUGCUACUGAAGACUUCACAGAUGACGACGGAGCUCUUGUAGUUCACUGUGUAUCUAUGUACCUCUUGAUUAUUCAUUAACAUUUAUAUAAUAUUUUAUAUAUUUAUAUAUAUACCUAUAUACAAAGGAAGGCAACCUACCGUUUCCAAAAGACAUUAAAAAAAAAAGGACUAUGGCAAUUACAGGCCAAAUAAUUCUGUAAAUGGUUUUAAAAAAAAAAAAAACAACCUAUAUAGGCAUGAUAUGCGCAAGGCAAGGAUCACUUGCAUGUGGUUAAUAAAGGUGGCAGUAAACUGAGCCCCUCUGAGUAUCAUUGGACUACAACUCCCAGGGUUGUACUUUUGGGAUUUGGGAGUAGUAGUUUAAAGGUCGAAGGUUGCCCAGAAAAGAUUUAAAAUGACGGGUUGGAAUUUGUAACGAGGGGGAGGGGCUUAGGUUUGUUCUGAGAUCAGUUUAGUAAACAGGGCCCCUUGCUGAGAGCAGAGUGAGGCCUAAGAGCGAUGCGUAUGGGGGGGGGAGACACGUGCAUGAGAAUGGAAUGAUCCGACCAGGUACAAGGCGAGAGUGUGAAAGACCCAUGGAAUGCUUGUAUAGAAGUGCUGCACACAUACAAUAACACAGACACACAAUCACAUGACAAGGGAGCACCAAGAACGCACACUCUUCCCAUAUGAAGGGAUCACACAAAGGAGCCGCAACAGCUUCCCUAUGAGGUGAGUGCCUAUGUAUUUUCUGUUUUGAUUUAUUUCCCUGAGCUGCUAUGAAGGUGUUAAUGGGCUCAGCUUUCAUUCCUGCCUCGGUAGCCAUUGUCUCUCUGGCAGGCUGGCAACUGCCAUAGUCUCCCUGGUGUGUUAAAGAUGCCAGUAGGAGCAUGAUUUAACAUGAUCUAGGGGCAAGGCAUAAUAUAUCCUGGGGAUGAUCAAGCUCUCCCUAUGAUGACAUAUAAGUAUGAAGCACAGAGAUCCCCCCAGCCAAUCACAAUUCUGCUGAAAUAGAGUGGCCCUAUAAGAGUCUGCAGAGAAGUAGAAAGUAGGACAUGGCAGGGAUGUAUCACAAGAGGAGGGAACACACUGGGAUUUGGGACCCAUUGGCAUUUCCCUUUUUCUUUUUUUUUUUUAAAGGGAAGUAAAACGGUACAUUAAAACAUUGGAGUAUAAAAAGGCCUGUCAGUAAUUCACUAUGAAACCAGCGAAGGAAAGUUCAUCUGCCUCUUACUUGUCCUUUAUAACUCAUACUGGAAGGGAACAUCUAAUCACAAGAAGAUACACCGACUGACAGAGAGAAGUGUAAUAAUAGAAUGGAAUACGCACUGUACCCCACUCCCCCCUGCUGACCCGGCUUCUAUUGCAGAUCUAACAUCAUCCUCUGCAGAUUAAAUACAUUUCUAAUUCUGGAUCCAAAUUCUAAAGGUUUACUAUUCCUUUAAUCUAGGGAUGCACCGAAUCCAGGAUUUGGUUCGGGAUCGGCCUUUUUCAGCAGGAUUCGGCUGAAUCCUUCUGCGCGGCCGAACAAAAUCCGAAUCCUAAUUUGAAUAUGCAAAUUAGGGGAGGGAAAUAGCGUGACUUUUGGUCACAAAACAAGGAAGUAAAAAAUGUUUUCCCCUUCCCUCCCCUAAUUUGCAUAUGAAAAUUAGAAUUUGGUUUGGUAUUUGGCCGAAUCUUUUGUGAAGGAUUUGGGGGUUCAACCGAAACCAAAUUAGUGGAUUCGGUGCAUCCCUACUUUAAUCUUGCAAAUUUUGUUUGCUUUGCAAUUUUAAUUUGGUUAUAGAUUCUGGAUUCAACCUGACAGAGAGCAGGAUGGGGUUUAACCAAUAGAAAACAUGAGUUUAGGGAGAGAGUCCAAUUCCCAGUCGUGGCUGUGCUCAUUAGUUGGGCAUCUGCCUGUGAAUAGAAUUCCUUACGUUGUACCCUGAGCAUUGCACCAGCCAGAGGUACUUCCCACAUGGCUUUCCUUUUCUCAAAAAUCGGUGGUGCACGUGCAGUAGAGUAAGGCUGGCUAGUGUGGCACAAGGAAUGGCAACCAGCUGGGUUCAUAGCUUGUGUAGGGGUCUAUAAUACGCUGCCCUCCUACCUCACAUCUGAUUGGAGCUUGAGUCUGGACAGGCAAGUUCCUCAUUGGGCCAUACCAAGAGCCUAUCUUACACAGCCAACUUCAUUCCCGUGACAAGACUGUAAAUAGGAUUAUU